rnacentral:rRNA from 1 species
GAGGGUGCAAGCGUUAUUCGGAAUCACUGGGCGUAAAGGACGCGUAGGCGGGACAGUAAGUCAGAUGUGAAAUCCUAUGGCUCAACCAUAGAACUGCAUUUGAAACUGCUGACCUAGAGUAUGGAAGGGGCAGAUGGAAUUAGUGGUGUAGGGGUAAAAUCCGUAGAUAUCACUAGGAAUACCGAAAGCGAAAGCGAUCUGCUGGGACAUUACUGACGCUAAGGCGUGAAAGCGUGGGGAGCAAGCGGGAUUAGAUACCCCGGUAGUCCACGCCCUGAACGAUGAAUGCUAGUCGUCGUGGAGCUCGUCUCUGCGGUGAUGCAGUUAACACAUUAAGCAUUCCGCCUGGGGAGUACGGUCGCAAGAUUAAAACUCAAAGGAAUAGACGGGGACCCGCACAAGUGGUGGAGCAUGUGGUUUAAUUCGAAGAUACGCGAAGAACCUUACCAAGCCUUGACAUUGAUAGAACGGACCAGAGAUGGACCGGUGCCUGCUUGCAGGAGCUAGAAAACAGGUGCUGCACGGCUGUCGUCAGCUCGUGUCGUGAGAUGUUGGGUUAAGUCCCGCAACGAGCGCAACCCUCGUCGUUAGUUGCUAACAGGUUAAGCUGAGCACUCUAGCGAGACUGCCUUCGCAAGGAGGAGGAAGGUGAGGACGACGUCAAGUCAUCAUGGCCCUUAUGGCUUGGGCUACACACGUGCUACAAUGGGGUGUACAGAGUGUUGCGAUACCGCGAGGUGGAGCUAAUCACUUAAAGCAUCUCUCAGUUCGGAUAGAAGUCUGCAACUCGACUUCUUGAAGCUGGAAUCACUAGUAAUCGUAGAUCAGCAAUGCUACGGUGAAUACGUUCCCGGGUCUUGCACACACCGCCCGUC